rnacentral:tRNA from 1 species
UCCCUGGUGGUCCUGGGUAAGACUCCACACUCCCAAUGCAGGGGGCCUGGGUUCGAUCCCUGGUCAGGGAA